rnacentral:misc_RNA from 1 species
AAUUCUCAACUCUCUGAUACUGUUUUGUAUAAGAGAGCUUGGAUUGUGGAGGUUUGCUGGCCACUUGUUUGAGGUCAGCUCCUCUGAAAUGCAUUAGCGGAACUGUUUGCGAUCUGCCACAAGUGUGAUAAAUUAUCUACACUGGCAAGGGGGAUUGCUCUCUGUUGUUCAGCUUCUAAUUGUCUCUACUUUGUAGGACUACAUCUUGAAU